GACGAACGCUGGCGGCGUGCUUAACACAUGCAAGUCGAACGGAAAGGCCCUGCUUUUGUGGGGUGCUCGAGUGGCGAACGGGUGAGUAACACGUGAGUAACCUGCCCUUGACUUUGGGAUAACUUCAGGAAACUGGGGCUAAUACCGGGUAGGAGCUCCUGCUGCAUGGUGGGGGUUGGAAAGUUUCGGCGGUUGGGGAUGGACUCGCGGCUUAUCAGCUUGUUGGUGGGGUAGUGGCUGACCAAGGCUUUGACGGGUAGCCGGCCUGAGAGGGUGACCGGGGACAUGAGGCCUGAGAUAGGGACCAGAAGCCUACCGGAGGCAGCAGGCGGGAACAUUGCGGAAUGGGCGGAAGCCAGAUACAGAGACGCCGCGAGCGGAAAGACGGCUUUCGGGUUGUAAACAGCUUUCGCCGGUGACGAAGCGUGAGUGACGGUACUGGGUAAAGAAGCAACGGCUAACUACGUG
rnacentral:rRNA from 1 species